AUUGAACGCUGGCGGCAGGCCUAACACAUGCAAGUCGAACGCGUGGCGGACGGGUGAGUAAUGUCUGGGACACUGCCUGAUGGAGGGGGAUAACUACUGGAAACGGUAGCUAAUACCGCAUACCAUCGGAUGUGCCCAGAUGGGAUUAGCUAGUAGGUGGGGUAAAGGCUCACCUAGGCGACGAUCCCUAGCUGGUCUGAGAGGAUGACCAGCCACACGGGAACUGUGACACGGUCCAGAGUCCUACGGGAGGCAGCGGUGGGGAAUAUUGCACAAUGGGCGCAAGCCUGAUGCAGCCAUGCCGCGUGUAUGAAGAAGGUCUUCUGGUUGUAAAGGACUUUCAGGUGUGAGGCGUUACCCGCAGAAGAAGCACCUGCUAACUCUGUGCCAGCAGCCGCGGUAAUUC
rnacentral:rRNA from 1 species